AAGACUACACUUUCAGGGAUCAUUUCUGUAGUUUGUUACUAGAGAAGCUUCUCUGAACGUGUAGAGCUCCAGAACACAUAG
rnacentral:snoRNA from 1 species